GAAAGGUUGCCGUCCAAGGUCUCAAGGAAGAAGAAGAAAAAGUCAAUUCUUCUUAUCUUGUAUUUAUAUACAAGAGACAAAACCCAUUAAUGGAGUGCCACAUGUCAAGUUCCAAUUUAAUCUAGCUUUUUAUGUGUCUUAAUCUCAUUAUGACACUUGUCAAGACAAGAUUAAAUCAUCAACAAUCAUCUUCCAUCACAUG
rnacentral:misc_RNA from 1 species